ACUAUUUACCAUUGCCUCGUUUUAUGUUUGCACAUGAUACUGCUGAUUCGGUGUUUCUGAGCCAGUCUUCCUGUUAACAGAAGGGCUUAUGUUGAGCUGUUUCUGGAGGAGAAGACUUGACACAUGGCUUCAAUCUCCUUUCUCUGGCGGCAUGUGAAUCCAGCCAGUUGGCAGAUUCCAGACUAUGGAAGUGAUGUUAGACAAAAAGCAAAUUUGAGCAAUUUUCUUAUCUGAGUUCAAAAUGGGUUGUAAAGCAGCAGAGACAACUCACAACAUCAACAAUGCAUUUGGUCCAGGAACUGCUAAUGAAUGUACAGAGCAGCGGUGGUUCAAGAAGUUUUGCAAAUGAGAUGAAAGACUUGAAGAUGAGGAGCAUAGUAGCCAGCCAUCAGAAAUUGACAACAACCGAUUGAGAAAAAUCAUCAAAGCUGAUCCUGUUACAACUACCUGAUAAAUUGCCAAAUAACUCAAAAUCAACUAUUCUACCAUCUUUCGGCAUUUGAAGCUAACUGGAAGGGUGAAAAAGCUCUAUAAGUGGGUGUCUCAUGAGCUGGGGAAAAAUCGUCUUUUCAAAGGGUCGUCUUUUCAUUUUAUGCAACAACAAUGAACAAUUUCUCAAUCAGAUUGUGAUGUGUAAUGAAAAGUGGAUUUUAUAUGACAACUGGCAGUGAUUGGCUCAGACACUGGAUUCAGAAGAAGCUCCAAAGCACUUCCCAAAGCCAAACUUGCACCCAAAAAAGAUCAUGGUCAUUGAUUGGUGGUUUGCUGCUGGUCUGAUACACUACAGCUUUCUGAAUCCAGGUGAAACCAUUACAUCUGAGAAGUACACUCAGCAAAUCGAUGAGAUGCACCAAAAACUGCAAUGUCUGCAGCCGGCAUUGAUCAGCAGAAAGGGCCCAGUUCUUCUCCAGGACAAUGCCCAACCACAUGUUGCACGACCAAUGCUUCAAAAGUUGAAUGAAUCUGGCUGAGAAGUUUUGCCUCAUCUGCCACAUUCACCUGACCUCUAGCCAACUGACUACCACUUCUUCAGGCAUCUCCACAGCAUUUUGCAGGGAAAACGCUUCCACAACUAGCAGGAUACAGAAAAUGCUUUCUAAGAGUUUGUUAAAUCCUGAAGCACAGAUUUUUAUGCUACAGGAAUAAACAUUUCUUAUUGGCAAAAAUUGUUGAUUUUAAUGGUUCCUAUUUUGAUUAAUAAAGAUGUGUUUGAGCCUAGCUAUAAUAAUUUAAAAUUCACGGUCUGAAACCACAAUUACUUUUGCACCAACCUAAAAGUAUAAAAUACAUUGAGGAAAGUGGCACUUCAUCAGUAUAUAGCUAAUGAAUGUUCACAAACUGAACAUGCCCUGAUCAAGAAACAGAAUAUUACAGCUUCCCAAAAGGCAACUUCUAGUUACUAACUCCAAAGGACUAACUACUCUCCUGAUAAUAAAUAAGAUCUGUGUGCUUUGAACUUUAUAUGAAGUGAAUCAUAUAGAUAUUCUUUUGUGUCUGGUUUUUUUUUUUGCUUAAUAUUAUGCUUGAGAGAUUCCACAAUGUUGCCUUAGUCAUAGAUCAUUUAUUACUAAUUGUAUACAGUGUUCUAUUACAUAACCAUAUUAAAAUUUUUCACCCCAACUGUUAGUAAGAAUUUAGGUAGUUUUCUGCAUGGAUGCUAUUAUUUGUAUUGCUGCUCUAAAUAUUCUAGUACAUCUUUUGGUAAACCCAUAUACAGAUUUCUGUGGAUACUUUAAGUGGACUGCAGGGUCAUGUAUCAGUAAAACUUUUUAAUGUGUCAUCUGAAGUUUGGAAUUUUUAUCAGUUAGCCAAUCCCAAAGAUUUCCUAUUAUCACAGAUAUGUCACAGGUCUAUUUUGUCCUUGCUGUGCAUUAUUUCCUUUGGCUUACUUUUUGCCAAAGUUUGUAUGCAUAGCGGUUUAAUUAUGUGCCUCCUUUCUUUGAUAUGUGUAUAUCUAUCUGUCUAUUUAUCUAUCUAUCUAGAUAUGUAAUUCCCUUGAUAUUAGGCUUGAAGUAUAACUACUGGAAUUUUAGUAAACAGAUAAAGAACACAACAGUCUAUUUUGUAGUUUUUAAAACUUAUGCAUUGGUCUGCUUAGUUUUUAGGCUUUUGCCAACAAAUAAUAGAGAAGAAAUAUUUAUGUAACCUAAUGUAAAAUGGUUCACCAUUUUAAAAGUUGACCAUGUUAAAAGAUGACAUUUCCAAACAAGUAGAUAAAUGGGUAUUAAUUCACAUAAAACAUCAUUUUGUUUAUAAGAGGA
rnacentral:lncRNA from 1 species